ACAGCAGUCGCCACGGGAAUACAGAGGGUGCGAGCGUUAAUCGGAUUUACUGGGCGUAAAGCGUGCGUAGGCGGCUUUUUAAGUCGGAUGUGAAAUCCCUGAGCUUAACUUAGGAAUUGCAUUCGAUACUGGGAAGCUAGAGUAUGGGAGAGGAUGGUAGAAUUCCAGGUGUAGCGGUGAAAUGCGUAGAGAUCUGGAGGAAUACCGAUGGCGAAGGCAGCCAUCUGGCCUAAUACUGACGCUGAGGUACGAAAGCAUGGGGAGCAAACAGGAUUAGAUACCCCCGUAGUCCCUGUCUCUUAUAC
rnacentral:rRNA from 1 species